GACGAACGCUGGCGGCACGCUUAACACAUGCAAGUCGAACGAGAGAAGAGAAGCUUGCUUUUCUGAUCUAGUGGCGGACGGGUGAGUAACACGUGAGCAAUCUGCCUUUCAGAGGGGGAUACCGAUUGGAAACGAUCGUUAAUACCGCAUAACAUAAUUGAACCGCAUGAUUUGAUUAUCAAAGAUUUAUCGCUGAAAGAUGAGCUCGCGUCUGAUUAGCUAGUUGGUAAGGUAACGGCUUACCAAGGCGACGAUCAGUAGCCGGACUGAGAGGUUGAUCGGCCACAUCGGGACUGAGACACGGCCCAGACUCCUACGGGAGGCAGCAGUGGGGAACAUUGCACAAUGGAGGAAACUCUGAUGCAGCGAUGCAGCGUGAGAGAAGAAGGUUUUAGGAUUGUAAACCUCUGUCUUCAGGGACGAAAAAAGACGGUCCCUGAGGAGGAAGCGCCGGCUAACUACGUG
rnacentral:rRNA from 1 species